rnacentral:rRNA from 1 species
CAGCCGCCACGGUAAUACGUAGGGUGCGAGCGUUAAUCGGAAUUACUGGGCGUAAAGCGUGCGCAGGCGGUUUUGUAAGACAGGCGUGAAAUCCCCGGGCUCAACCUGGGAAUGGCGCUUGUGACUGCAAAGCUAGAGUGCGGCAGAGGGGGAUGGAAUUCCGCGUGUAGCAGUGAGAUGCGUAGAUAUGCGGAGGAACACCGAUGGCGAAGGCAAUCCCCUGGGCCUGCACUGACGCUCAUGCACGAAAGCGUGGGGAGCAAACAGGAUUAGAUACCCCGGUAGUCCCUGUCUCUUAUAC